rnacentral:rRNA from 1 species
UACGGAGGGUGCAAGCGUUGUCCGGAAUCAUUGGGUGUAAAGGGUGCGUAGGCGGGCGCUUAAGUCUGGGGUGAAAUCUUGCCGCUUAACGGUAAAAUUGCCCUGGAUACUGGGCGUCUUGAGUGUAGAAGAGGCAGGUGGAAUUCGUAGUGUAGCGGUGAAAUGCUUAGAUAUUACGAAGAACAUCAGUGGCGAAGGCGGCCUGCUGGUCUACAACUGACGCUGAGGCACGAAAGCGUGGGGAGCGAAC